UGCCAGUGCUCAGCAUGUCCCCCUGAACUCUGCAGCAGCCGCUAGUCUGUGAGGCGGGUAGUGUGAGUUCCGCUCACAGUCAGCGGCUGCGGUGUCACCAGAGAGAGUGUACGGGGAGAAGUGCCAAGCAGUAGAUGAUACCCACAAGAUUGGACUAUCAUGACGUCACAUUGCAAAAUGAGAGGCGAAGCUCAAGGCAGCCUCGUGGAAAAAAUGCGGCUGCAGAUGCUGGAGGAUCGAAAAGACAAUCCCCGAGAAUGAAGUAGCAUUAAUCUACAGUCCCACGUUCUGCGCUUUAACAAACAGCACAUAUAUACUCUCCGACAAUGG